CCUUGGAAUACCACCCUUGGCAAGAUUAAGUCCUAACCGGCAUCCUUAGCGGGUGCCGAGACAGUGGCAGGUGGGCAGUUUGACUGGGGCGGUCGCCUCCUAAACCGUAACGGAGGCGCCCAAAGGUCCCCUCAGCACGGAUGGAAACCGUGCGCUGAGUGCAAGGGCAUAAGGGGGCUUGACUGUGAGGCCUACAAGCCGAGCAGAGGCGAAAGCCGGGCCUAGUGAUCCUACGCCGGCAAGUGGAAGCGGCGUGGCUUAACGGAUAAAAGCUACCCCGGGGAUAACAGGCUGAUCUCCCCCAAGAGUCCACAUCGACGGGGAGGUUUGGCACCUCGACAUAGGGGUGAGGCAGCAGAAAUGCUGUCAACUGAAUCGGCUUAUAACGGUGAACCCCGACCGCUCGGUCUGAGCGAGGGCAAUACCGUGGGAAGUCUUACGGAAGCACAGCGCUCCGUAAUGACCCCGUAACGACUGAGGCCGAGAGGCCGAGGCAGCGAGCCUGCCGCGAAAUCGGCAAAUCCUGGCCGCUGCAACACGCCGACACCCGCCCUCGGGUCAAGCCCGAGAGGGUGAAGAUAUAGUCUACGCCAUCAGGAAUGAUGGAGACACGUGCGAUGUCGGCUCAUCGCAUCCUGGGGCUGCAGUAGGUCCCAAGGGUUGGGCUGUUCGCCCAUUAAAGCGGUACGUGAGCUGGGUUCAGAACGUAGGAGACUGCGUCCCUCGGGAGCAAUCCCGAGGUGCUCUCCGGCUGAUAUCGGUGAAACCCUCCCGCAGCUCCGAACACUGCGGAGGGCAAUACCGAGGGAAGAACGGGAGUGUAUGUGCAGGAGACGUUGAUCGGAAUCGUGCUGGGAGAUGGAUACCUCGAGCCUCAUGGCCGAGGCGUCCGGCUCCAGGUGAAUCACUCCGUUCGCUUCAAGAGUUACAUUGACUGGAAGCGUCGGGAACUCCUGGAGUUGAAACCCUCUUCCUUGCAUCGAACCGACAACGAUGGGUACCCGUUCUGGCGCUUUGUCACACGGUGCCAUCCGCACCUGGCCGAACUGCGGCGAUUGUUCUAUGCGGGCAAGAGAAAGGUCGUUCCUAAAACGAUCAAGUCCUUGCUCGUGCAUCCCAAGUCGCUGGCAGUUUGGUUCAUGGACGAUGGAACGUGUGAUCGACGGCAAGGCUCGGUUCUCUUCGAAACGCAGUGCUUCGAUCCUGACAGUCUGGAUCGGUUGAGGGUGGUUCUCAAAGACAACUUCGACCUCAAGACAGCAAUCCAUCGAAGCGGCGUUGGAAGAGGAAUGCGACUCUAUGUCACAGUCGCGGAGGCCAGGAAACUGGCCGCAACGAUCGGGCCGUACGUCGUGCCGGAACUCAGGUACAAGCUUCCGUUCCCUGUAACGACUGAAGGCCGCAAGGCCUGAGAUAGGUGUCCUGCCGAAGAGGCAAAUCUGCGGCAUCUAUCACACGCCGGCUCCUUCCGAACUCCUUCGGGAGGAUGGAGCUAUAGUCUGUGCCUCUGGAAACAGAGGAACGACACGCGUGAGACAGUUCGGUCCCUAUCCACUGUGGGCGCAGGUGACUUGAGGGGUGUUGCUCCUAGUACGAGAGGACCGGAGUGAACGGACCUCUGGUGUACCGGUUGUCCUGCCAAGGGCAAGUGCCGGGUAGCUAUGUCCGGACGGGAUAAGCGCUGAAAGCAUCUAAGCGCGAAGCCCACCCCAAGAUGAGGUCACCCACCGGGUUAACCGGGUAAGUCCCCUGGGAGACGACCAGGUUGAUAGGCCGCGGGUGUAAGGCCGUAAGGCUCAGCCUAGCGGUACUAAUAGGACGAGGGCUUGUCCUG
rnacentral:ncRNA from 1 species